GAUGAAGAACGUAGCGAAAUGCGAUAAGUAGUGUGAAUUGCAGAUUUCAGUGAAUCAUCGAAUCUUUGAACGCACAUUGCGCCCUUUGGUAUUCCUUAGGGCAUGCCUGUUCGAGCGUCAUUUAAACCUUCAAGCUCAGCUUGGUGAUGGGUGACUGUCCGCUGCCUCCCCCCGGGGUGCGCCGCGGACUCGCCUCAAAACGAUUGGCGGCCGGUACGUUGGCUUCGAGCGCAGCAGAAACGCGUAACCCGAGGUCCCCGUGGCGGCUCCCAGAAGCAACCUUAUUAUUUUGACCUCGGAUCAGGUAGGGAUACCCGCUGAACUUAAGCAUAUCAAUAAGCGGAGGA
rnacentral:misc_RNA from 1 species